rnacentral:rRNA from 1 species
AUGAACGCUAGCUACAGGCUUAACACAUGCAAGUCGAGGGGAAACGACAUCGAAAGCUUGCUUUUGAUGGGCGUCGACCGGCGCACGGGUGAGUAACGCGUAUCCAACCUGCCCAUCACUUGGGGAUAACCUUGCGAAAGUAAGACUAAUACCCAAUGAUAUCUCUAGAAGACAUCUGAAAGAGAUUAAAGAUUUAUCGGUGAUGGAUGGGGAUGCGUCUGAUUAGCUUGUUGGCGGGGUAACGGCCCACCAAGGCAACGAUCAGUAGGGGUUCUGAGAGGAAGGUCCCCCACAUUGGAACUGAGACACGGUCCAAACUCCUACGGGAGGCAGCAGUGAGGAAUAUUGGUCAAUGGGCGAGAGCCUGAACCAGCCAAGUAGCGUGCAGGAAGACGGCCCUAUGGGUUGUAAACUGCUUUUAUAAGGGAAUAAAGUGAGAGUCGUGACUCUUUUUGUAUGUACCUUAUGAAUAAGGACCGGCUAAGUCCGUG